UAGGGAAUCUUCCGCAAUGGACGCAAGUCUGACGGAGCAACGCCGCGUGAGUGAAGAAGGAUUUCGGUUCGUAAAACUCUGUUGUUAGAGAAGAACAGCGCAUAGAGUAACUAUUAUGCGUGUGACGGUAUCUAACCAGAAAGCCACGGCUAACUACGUGCCAGCAGCCGCGGUAAUACGUAGGUGGCAAGCGUUGUCCGGAUUUAUUGGGCGUAAAGCGAGCGCAGGCGGUUAGAUAAGUCUGAAGUUAAAGGCAGUGGCUCAACCAUUGUAGGCUUUGGAAACUGUUUAACUUGAGUGCAGAAGGGGAGAGUGGAAUUCCAUGUGUAGCGGUGAAAUGCGUAGAUAUAUGGAGGAACACCGGUGGCGAAAGCGGCUCUCUGGUCUGUAACUGACGCUGAGGCUCGAAAGCGUGGGGAGCGAACAGG
rnacentral:rRNA from 1 species